GACGAACGCUGGCGGCGUGCUUAACACAUGCAAGUCGAACGGAAAGGCCCUGCUUUUGUGGGGUGCUCGAGUGGCGAACGGGUGAGUAACACGUGAGUAACCUGCCCUUGACUUUGGGAUAACUUCAGGAAACUGGGGCUAAUACCGGAUAGGAGCUCCUGCUGCAUGGUGGGGGUUGGAAAGUUUCGGCGGUUGGGGAUGGACUCGCGGCUUAUCGGCUUGUUGGUGGGGUAGUGGCUUACCAAGGCUUUGACGGGUAGCCGGCCUGAGAGGGUGACCGGCAACAUGGGGACUGGGAUACGGCCCAGACUCCUACGGGAGGCAGCAGUGGGGAAUAUUGCACAAUGGGCGGAAGCCUGAUGCAGCAACGCCGCGUGCGGGAUGACGGCCUUCGGGUUGUAACCCGCUUUCGCCUGUGACGAAGCGUGAGUGACGGUAAUGGGUAAAGAAGCACCGGCUAACUACGUG
rnacentral:rRNA from 1 species